GGCCUGGUGGUCUAGUGGUAUGAUUGUCGCUUCGGGAGUUCCGCGCCUGGCUGCUCAGCAGCUAAAAUGUGACAGGCCCCGGGUUCGAAUCCCGGCCAGGCCC
rnacentral:tRNA from 1 species